GCAGUCGUGGCCGAGUGGUUAAGGCGACAGACUAGAAAUCUGUUGGGGUCUCCCCGCACAGGUUCGAAUCCUGUCGACUGCG
rfam:Lingula anatina scaffold208, whole genome shotgun sequence.